GAGCAAGGCCAGACCCCAGCGGCACAUUUCCUGCCCAAAACUUGGGGCCGCGACGGUAUGCACUCCGGGACUCAAACCCCAGGAUCAAGUACUAAGAAAACAGCCAGAGAGAGACUUUUCCAAUCACCUCCCACAACUGGAGUGAAGAAUCAGGAUACAGUGGACAAAAUAAGACAUGAAGUGUAAGGAUGUUGUUUCAGGCUGCACACGUGUCCCAGAGAAGAAGAAACCAAGCAUCGUGAUAGAACUCUGUUGAGCCAGGCAAAGUAUGAAUGGUCUGAUCUUCCUCCAUCAUGGAAAGAAACUUAUACUGAUUCAUCAAGAAGCAGGGAUAGAAGCCUGUUUAUAUUGUUAUUUAUUUUAGAGACUAUAAAAGUGACUAACCAAAAGAACCAAAACAGGGAUGGUUGGGAAAAACGUGGUUAUCUUUGGGCAGUGAGGCCACCUUGACUGGAAGACUGCCCAAGAGUGAAGGUGACAAAGGAACCAAGAUCAGGAGACCAAGAAAAGAGGACAAUCCAGAUCCAACAAUAUCGCUAGAGUCCCUUGGUCAAGCUGAAUAUGGAAAUGAGCUUUUCCCUAUGUAAGCCAAUAAAGUCUGCUUUUGAGUUGGGUUUCUGGAACUUGCCAUUAAAAAUGCCCAAUACAUGCCAACUACUCCUCCCCUUUCCCUCCCACCUCCCCUCCAGUUAAGGUCUUUGCCUUCUCAUCUUUAUAAACUUGCAUUGCCAGAUGCCUUGUGUAUAUAUUUACAUAAGAAGUUCAAAGUUCCUAGGUAUGCGAGUUAAUAGUGGAAUUAUUUAAUUGAUAAGUCCAAGUUUAUCUAGCAGUGCUGUAAGGAAGUCCAGGUGCAGUCGCUUAUGCCUGUAACCCCAACACCUUGGGAGGCCGAGGCAGGAGGAUCGCUUGAGUCCAG
rnacentral:lncRNA from 1 species